rnacentral:rRNA from 1 species
AAUAUUGUACAAUGGGGGCAACCCUGAUCCAGCCACGCCGCGUGUGCGAAAAAGGUAUUCGGAGUGUCAAGCCCUUUAAGGGGGGGGGAAGGGCUUUAGGUUAAUACCCUGAAGUUGUGAUGUUCACAACAGAAGAAGCACCGGAUAACGCUGCGUCAGCAGCCGCGGUAAUAAGGAGGGUGCAAGCGUUAAUCGGAAUUGCUGGGCGUAAAGCGCGCGUAGGUGGUUCAGUAAGAUGGGUGUGAAAUCCCCGGGCUUAACCUGGGAACUGCUUUCAUGACUGCUGAGCUAGAGUACGGUAGAGGGUAGUGGAAUUUCCUGUGUAGCGGUGAAAUGCGUAGAUAUAGGAAGGAACACCAGUGGCGAAGGCGACUACCUGGACUGAUACUGACACUGAGGUGCGAAAGCGUGGGGAGCAAAC